rnacentral:lncRNA from 1 species
UGAGAACUACGAAUAGUUCCCAAUGGGUUCGGCCGCCGACUCCGCCGAUCUACCCACUAGGUCUUAAGCAGGCAUAGAGAGAUAUAUAUGCAAUAUAUAUAAAACUAAGCUAAACUGAAAGCAGGUAUUUGAAACAGGUAUAUCAAGCUAUGCCUCAAUCUGACAUCAUGGAUGCAUGAACAAUAAAUAAAGCUGGGUAAGUGCGCAACUAUGAACAUCUACAGCUAUCAUAGUAAGCUCUAAAACAUGCUACUAGGAAAGCAAAUAAGCUGAUAUGAAUAAUGAAUGGCUACUAUGAACAUCAAUCAUGGGUAAGACUCACUGGGUAAUCCAAUCUCCAAGUGAACACAAGGUUCAUAAGCAAGACUCACAUGUUAACCUCCGAGGGAUGCCUAGCUGGACUAUCCCCGAGUACGCCUGCGGAUAACAAGCGGCUAUCCGAGCAGCAAGCAGGCUGCCUCUCUAGUGACCAACUCCGGAGCGCACAACUUGAGGGGAGCGACCCCACCAAGCGCAGACAGGCAAUGUGAGCAUGAUCAACUCACUAGCAACAACAACCCUUUGUGGGUAAUAUUAGCAUAGAUCAAUAAGUUCUUGUACCCAAUCUCAUAGUGUCUCAACCACACUAAUAAGAUCAUCUCAAGUAAAUAUCAAGCAUGUGCCACUCAGUCAUAGUUUUCUAACUAGAUACUACUCGUCAUUUAGACUCAUCAACAAUGUUAGUUCUUUUACAUUAUAAGCUCUAAUCAUCUCAUAUAGGGUUGACUCUCAUCAUUAAACUCUAUCAUUUAAUCUCAUGCAUACUAGUUUAUAAAUCAUUCAAUCGACUAUAUCUAUAACUACUAGCAUGCAAUUUGAAGCAAUAUAAUAAAUCUUUAACCCUAUAAGAACAUGCACAAUAUGCAACUUGGUCAUAUUUAAACUUAGACAUAAUGGGUAGCACGAUGACUUUGGGAUGGCACUCCCCAACCUUAGGUGAUGCCGAAAACACUUCGAGACGCGCUCUCGUGCUAAUCUUGUCGCCGCUUAAUUUUUGUUGGGUUAGCUUUAACCCUAUAGCACUUCAAAUGGUGAUAUCUUCGCGCUCGAUUUUCGUAUCGACGAACCGUCUUCGCCUACGCGUUUAUAAGCAUAAGAAUUAGGUUUCCGACCCAUCAAAAUAGAUCAAAACCCUUUAAUCCCAAAAACCCCAAAAUCCAACCCUAGGUUUUGCACCCAAGGGAAUCCAUGGUUUCUAGCUUCAAUGUGAGCUAAAUUCAUGUCCUCUAAACUCAUUAGAUUCCAUUUGAACCAAUAAAUCAAACAAAAACUCACAAAACCCUAGAAUCUCACAAUUAGGGUUGAGGCUUACUCUAGGGUUUGCUCCAAAGCAAGCCCUAGCUUGAGGAAGAGGAGGGAGAGAAGCUUCUUCUUCUCCUCCUUGAUCUUCUCCUUCUUCUUCUCUUUCUUUCUCUCCUUUUCUUCUUCUUCUUUUCUUUCUUUCCCUUUUUCGGUUUAGAGAGAGAGAGCUAAGUGAGAGGGAGAGAGAACGGCUAAGAGGGAGUGAGAGAGUGGCUGAGAGAGAGGGGAUAUAACCCUCUAUUGUAACAAAAUUCCAAAAGCCCCCUCAAAAAUCUAUUUUUCCAACUUGACCUGCAGUUUCGGGUCCCUUGUACCGGUACACGGUUUCUUGUACCGGUACAAGGCCUGGCAGACAGCUCAACCCGAGGCUCGGUUUCUCGGUUGCGCAGGGCUUGUACCGGUACAAGACCCCUUUGUACCGGCACAAGGUCUGGCAGCCUCCAACCCGAGAGCCUGCGAUGGUUGUACCGGUACAACCAUCACUCUUGUACCGGUACAACAGCUCCAGAAUGCUGUUUUCACAUCUCUUCGGCUCUAUUUCGCGCCGUUUGAUGUCAAAACCAAUCCAACACCUUUGGAACUCAUUUUAGCUCUUCCAAACCCUUCAAUUGCCCACUUUGGUCCAUUUGGCCAAAGUUAGCCAAAUUCCAUCGAGAUUCAAUAUCUCACAUCUAUCUAGCAUGAAUAUGUAUGAUUUUUUAUUUUACAAUAAAGGCAAUGACAUAGGAGUUCACACAUUUCGGUGAGGUCAAACCCACCAGAUACCCGUCGAAUCCCCUUCGUUUGCGCGAACGAGUAUGCCCACUAGUCGCCUAGCUCCUAACAAAAAUUCUAAGACAGUUAGGGGUUCCGAACGAAUACCCCACAAGAUCCACAAAAUUCAACCCAUAAAUAGGUAGAAAAUUACCUUAAAUUGUGAAGAAUCCAAACUUCAAAUGAGAGCUAGAACACUUCUAAUCCAACUUAUAGGAAGGCAUUAGAACAAACAAUUUAGCCCCUAAGGCCCUAGCAAGAAAAUCUCCAAAAUAAAACCCUAGUUUCCAAAACUAGGUUUCCAUCUCAAAAAGACCCCUAAAAAAGAUGUAGUCUGCAACUGCACUGCGUACCGGUACGCGGGCUGGAGUACCGGUACCCAACAGCUGAGCUCGCAAACCCGAGCCUCUGUCAAUUGGACAGACUGCAGUGUACCGGUACUUGUGCGAUGCAGUACCUAUUCCAGGCUCCAGUAUCGGUACUCGGGCGAUGCAGUACCGGUACUCUGCCUCGCAAAGCUCAAACCAAAGAGUACCCCUCUCGGUUACGCGAUGUGGUUCUGGUACCCCUUCUCUGGUACUGGUAUCCAGCACCCUAAAACCUACACUUUGGAGGUUUUGGUGCUAAGUACCCACUCUUGCUUCUCAAGACGCGAGUAAACAGGUCGGAACAUAGUCAACGACCCUCACAUACUGUCACGCCCCAACCGCACACCCGAAACUAUUUGGUCCGGUUCGAAAGCGGCGGGCGUGAGGCCGAACGGACAGAGUCUCCCCUGUGCGCCUAAGGCUAACCAACGAGAUUGUGCACAACAAGUCCCCAGGAAAAACAACUUGAUUUCAUACACAAUCGAAAGAACGAUAACACAAACAGUACUGUUAAAACCAUCAAGAGCAAACGAUACUAGUAAAAGCAUAUAAGUAUACAAAAGAGAGAAACUUAACUAUUUGAACCAUGAAACUAGAAGUAUUUAAAUACAACUUGCAUUAAACUUCAUUUAAACCUUCAUACAUGUUUUUCCAUAUUUUCCAUAAUGAAAAUACAUCCAAAAACUCUCCAAAACCUCACCCUAUACAACACCUACUCUCAAAAUAUAAAGACAGGGUGGAGCUAAUGCAAGUAGGAAGUAAGCUACCAACUGAUACCGCUAGGGCGCCAAGCCAUCGCCGCGAUCCUCCCGCUCGGUCGGGACACUCGAACUAGUGCUUGCAACAACGGGUGUGAGAAUUACGAAUAGUUCCCAGUGGGUUCGGCCGCCGACUCCACCGAUCUACCCACUAGGUCGAAGCAGGCAUAGAGAGAUAUAUGCAAUAUAUAUAUAAAGCUAAACCAACUAAAAGCAGGUAUGAAAAUUAAGCAAGUAAGGAAAUGUAAGCAAGUAGGUAGAAUCAUGAAUAUCUAGUUAUGCCUCAAUCUGAUAUCAUGCAUGCAUGAACAACAGAUAAAGCUGGGUAGUAAGCUACUAUGAACAACAACAACAAGUAAGCUAAAAUGAACAACCAUAGAGAAGCUACUACAACAACAAAUAAUGAGUGUGACUCAAUAGGUUACCCAAUUUCAUGGUGAACUCGAGGUUCACAAGCAUAACUCAUGUGUAAGUCUCAUAGGGAAAGUCUCACUGAACUACUCCCGAGACCGCCUGCGGACAGUACACAGACCGUCCAGACAGCACACUGACUGUCCCUCUAGUGACCAACCUCCGGAGUGCACAGCUUGCGGGGAGCGACCCCUCCAAGCGCAGACAGGCUAUGUGAGCACGAUCAACUCACGACCAACAGCAUUCUACCCUCUAAGGGUAAUCUCAUCUUAGAAUCAUGGUGUUCUAAUACUCAAUCUCAUAGUGUUUCAGCUACACUAGGGUUCUCAUGUCAUAAGCGAUCAACAAUCAUAUGCCACUUGUCAUAGUUUUCUAUGUUAGAUGCCACUUGCCAUUUUGACUCGUUAUCAACACUAGUUACAUUAUACUAGUUCUUUAACAACAUAAGCAUUAAUCAUCUCAUAUAGGGUCUAGGUUUUCAUCAUAUAGUUUUCAUGCAUACAAUUAGGUUUCCGACCCAUCAAAAUAGAUUAAAACCCUAUAUGCCCAAAAAUCCCAAAAUCCAACCCUAGGUUUAGCACCCACGGAAAAUAAUAGUUUCUAGCUUUAUUGUGAGCUAGAUCCAUACCCUCUAAACUCAUUAGGUUCCAUUUGAACCAUUAAAAACAACAAAAAGCUCCCAAACCCAAGAAAUCACAAGUUAGGGUUGAGGCUUACCUCUAGGGUUUGCUCCAAAGCAAGCCCUAGCUUGAGGAAGAGGAGGGAGAGAAGCUUCUUCUUCUUUUUCUUGAUCUUCUCCUUCCUUUCCUUCUUCUUCUCUUUCUUUCUCUCCUUCUUUUCUUCUUCUUCUUCCAUUUUUCGGUUUAGAGAGAGAGAGAGAGCUAAGUGAGAGGGAGGGAGAGAAGCUAAGAGUGAGAGAGAGGCUGAGAGAGAGAGGUAUACAAAGUCUCUAAUGUAACAAAAUCCCAAAAAGCCGCUCUAUUUUCUAAUUUCCAAAGCAGACCCACUGUUUAGGGUCCAUUGUACCGGUACACGGUUUCUUGUACCGGUAUAAGGCCUGGGUGACAGCCAAACCCGAGCGCUCGGUUUCUCGGUUUCAUAGGGCUUGUACCGGUACAAGGCCCCCUUGUACCGGUACAAGGUCUUGCAGCUCCAACCCGAGAGCUGCGAUGGUUGUACUGGUACAACCAUCACUCUUGUACCUGUACAACAGCUCCAGAAUGCUGUUUUUCUCUUCUCUUCGGCUCUACUUCGCGCCGGUCGAUGUCAAAACCAUUCCAACACCUUUGGAACUCAUUUUUGCUCUUCCAAACUUGUUGGAACCUCGAAUAGAACUUGUCCAAACCGUUCAAUUCCCCACUUUGGUCCAUUUGGCCAAAAUUAGCCAAAUUCCAUCGAGUUUCAAUAUCUCACAUUCUCCACCCCUUAAAAGGAGUUUCGUCCUCGAAACAACUCAACUCAUAAUUCGAACAAAACUCUUACCUCAAUCCUCGAACAAGUGAGGAUGAUUCGCUUUCAUCUCGUCCUCGAGUUCCCAAGUGGCUUCGCGAUCGUCGUGAUUGCUCCACCGAACUUUAACAUAGGGGAUUUCUCGAUUCCUUAGCUUGCGCACCUCCCGAGCUAAAAUCUCCACUGGAAACUCUUCAUAGCUCAUAUCAUCCUGAAGCUCCGGCGGCUCAUAAACUAGAACAUGCUCGGGAUCAUGCAUGUACUUGCAAAGAUUGGAGACGUGGAAGACAUUGUGCACUCCCGCAAGUUUCGGGGGCAAGGCAAGUCGGUACGCCACCAUCCCAAUUCGCUCCAAGAUCUCGUAGGGGCCAAUAUAACGAGGACUUAGCUUUCCUCGCUCCCCAAACCUUUUCACGCCUCGCAUCAGCGAAACCUUCAAAAACACGCGGUCACCCACCGCGAACUCCAAAUCUCUACGACGUUUAUCUGAAUAGCUUUUCUGUCGCGACUGCGCCGUGAGCAACCUUUUGCGAGCAAGUUGGACUUUCUCCUCCGCCUCCCGCAAAACAUCCGGACCAAACUCAACUCGCUCGCCUACAUCACUCCAAUAAAUGGGAGAUCGACACUUCCGCCCGUAGAGAGCCUCGAACGGUGCCAUUCCCACGCUAGCAUGAUAACUGUUGUCAUAGGCGAACUUGUCACGCCCCCGCCCCGGGGCCGCUACCGAUUUGGCACGGUUCGGGCGCGGCAAGCGGACCGCCAAACGGACAGAGUCUCCCCUGUCCGCCCAAGGCUCAAAUGACGAGAUUGUGUACAACAAGUUCCCAGGAAAACACUUGAAUACAUAUACAAUUAUACAACAACUAAAGCACGAACAGUGCUGAACAUUACAAGAGCAAGCGUCACAAGUAGUAGACAUACAAGUGAAACAAAAGAGAGAUACUUAACUAUUCUAUUACAACCAUUCUACUUGAUACAUUUAAUUACAACUUGCAUUCUUUUCCAAAAUAUGAAUAUAAGCGUACAUUCUUCAAAAGAUAACAUUAGUUUACAUUUAUCUCAAAAUACCUCACAUCCUAUACAUCAUCUACUCUCAAUACAUGUAUAGGGUAACUCUAAUGCAAAAUAGGAAAGUAAACUACCAACUAGCAUUAGGGCGCUAAGCCUAUAACGCGAUCUUCUGCCGAUCCGCUCUCGUGUGUACCUGUACCCCAAAACCACACGGGGUGAAAACUAUAUAAAUAUAGUUCCCAGUAGGUUCGGCCGCCGACUUCGCCGAUCUUCCCACUAGGUCCAAGCUGGCACAGAUAGAUAGAUAGAAAGAUAUAUGGAAAUACUACUACUAUAUCUAUUAUGCCAUCAAAUGCAAAGUAUGCAUGGAACAUCAUCUAGCAACAACCUACCAUCAUGCUAGUAUGCCUCUACAGUGAAAUAAAUACAACAACAACAUAGUUAUGCAGUGUACUAUGUCUAAUCAUGGUAUGAAUGCAAUACUCUUAAGCUAUUCAUGUUAUUACCCAAUCUGCUAGGCUACUUUGCCUAAGAUCUCAAAUCUAGUAGGUGAAAAGCUACCUCAUUCUUGUCUCAUUCGAUUCAUGUCUUAAGGGUCCUGAGCAAAGAGCUACCCCGCUCCUCGCCCGACUUAGAUCUCGAAGGUCCGACCCAAUCUCGAAGGUCCUAGGCAAAGAGCUACCCCACUCCUUGCCCGACUCACAUCUCAAAGUCCUAGGCAAAGGCUACCCCGCACUUUGCCCGACUCACAUCUCGACCUACUAGGUACAGGGCUACUCCACUCAAAUCUCAUAGGUGAAGGAAUAGUAUAUCAUGAAUGCAUGAGCAAUAAGUAAGCUACUAUGAACACUAGUAAGCUACUAUGAACAACACAACAACUAUGGAAGCGAGCUAUCAUGAACAACGAUAAUGAGUAUGACUCAAUAGGUAACCAAAUCUCAUGGUGAACUCGGGGUUCACGAACAUAUCUCACGUGUAAG